AUUGAACGCUGGCGGCAUGCCUUACACAUGCAAGUCGAACGGCAGCACGGGAGCAAUCCUGGUGGCGAGUGGCGAACGGGUGAGUAAUAUAUCGGAACGUGCCCAGUCGUGGGGGAUAACGUAGCGAAAGCUACGCUAAUACCGCAUACGAUCUAUGGAUGAAAGCGGGGGAUCGCAAGACCUCGCGCGAUUGGAGCGGCCGAUAUCAGAUUAGGUAGUUGGUGGGGUAAAAGCCUACCAAGCCUUCGAUCUGUAGCUGGUCUGAGAGGACGACCAGCCACACUGGAACUGAGACACGGUCCAGACUCCUACGGGAGGCAGCAGUGGGGAAUUUUGGACAAUGGGCGCAAGCCUGAUCCAGCAAUGCCGCGUGCAGGAUGAAGGCCUCGGGUUGU
rnacentral:rRNA from 1 species